rnacentral:rRNA from 1 species
AUGGGCGCGCUGGUGCACGUGGGCGUGGAUCUGGCCGGGGCGGGCGCGGUGGCCUCCUGCCGCGCGGAUCUGGUGGCUUGGCCCGUGUGCGCCUGCGAGGUGCGCCGCAGGCGUGGGCGCGCGUGUGCUGCACGGAGGUGCCUCCCGUGGGCGGAUCCAGGUCUGCUGGGCGCGCUGGUGCGCGAGGGAGCUUCAAGGGCGCGGUUCUUGGCCAGAUGCGGGCGCGUGGUGGCGCGGGAAGCUGCUCAAGAGGCGCGGUGGUGCACCCGCUGGGUCGCGUGA